GACGAACGCUGGCGGCGCGCUUAACACAUGCAAGUCGAACGGAAAGGCCUGCUUUCCCUUGUGGAUUGCGGGUACUCGAGUGGCGAACGGGUGAGUAACACGUGAGUGAUCUGCCCCCAACUUGGGUAUAAGCCUGGGAAACUGGGUCUAAUUCCCGAUAGGACUGCAGGGUGGUGCCUGUGGUGGAAAACGAUUUUCUAGUGGUUGGGGAUGAGCUCGCGGCCUAUCAGCUUGUUGGUGGGGUAAUGGCCUACCAAGGCGGCGACGGGUAGCCGGCCUGGGAGGGGGGACGGCCACAUUGGGACUGAGAUACGGCCCAGACUCCUACGGGAGGCAGCAGUGGGGAAUAUUGCACAAGGGGCGGAAGCCUGAUGCAGCGACGCCGCGUGGGGGAUGACGGCCUUCGGGUUGUAAACUCCUUUCGACCGCGAGGAAGCCACCUGGUUGGAAGGGUGGUGACGGUAGUGGUAGAAGAAGCACCGGCUAACUACGUG
rnacentral:rRNA from 1 species